rnacentral:rRNA from 1 species
GGCGGGACACGUGAUAUCCUGUCUGAAUAUGGGGGGACCAUCCUCCAAGGCUAAAUACUACUGACUGACCGAUAGUGAACCAGUACCGUGAGGGAAAGGCGAAAAGAACCCCUGUGAGGGGAGUGAAAUAGAACCUGAAACCGUGUACGUACAAGCAGUAGGAGCAGGCUUUGUCCUGUGACUGCGUACCUUUUGUAUAAUGGGUCAGCGACUUAUAUUCAGUGGCAAGGUUAACCAUCUAGGGGAGCCGUAGGGAAACCGAGUCUUAACUGGGCGUUCAGUCUCUGGAUAUAGACCCGAAACCAGGUGAUCUAGCCAUGGGCAGGUUGAAGGUUGAGUAACAUCAACUGGAGGACCGAACCGACUAAUGUUGAAAAAUUAGCGGAUGACUUGUGGCUAGGGGUGAAAGGCCAAUCAAACCUGGAGAUAGCUGGUUCUCCCCGAAAGCUAUUUAGGUAGCGCCUCGGACGAAUACUACUGGGGGUAGAGCACUGUUAAGGCUAGGGGGUCAUCCCGACUUACCAACCCUUUGCAAACUCCGAAUACCAGUAAGUACUAUCCGGGAGACACACGGCGGGUGCUAACGUCCGUCGUGGAGAGGGAAACAACCCAGACCGCCAGCUAAGGUCCCAAAUUACUACUAAGUGGGAAACGAUGUGGGAAGGCUCAGACAGCCAGGAUGUUGGCUUAGAAGCAGCCAUCAUUUAAAGAAAGCGUAAUAGCUCACUGGUCGAGUCGGCCUGCGCGGAAGAUGUAACGGGGCUAAGUAGUAAACCGAAGCUGCGGCAAUAUACUUUUGUAUAUUGGGUAGGGGAGCGUUCUGUAAGCGGUUGAAGGUGUGUGGUAACGCAUGCUGGACGUAUCAGAAGUGCGAAUGCUGACAUGAGUAACGAUAAAGGGGGUGAAAAACCUCCUCGCCGGAAGACCAAGGGUUCCUGUCCAACGUUAAUCGGGGCAGGGUAAGUCGACCCCUAAGGCGAGGCCGAAAGGCGUAGUCGAUGGGAAACGGGUUAAUAUUCCCGUACUUCUUACAAUUGCGAUGGGGGGACGGAGAAGGCUAGGUGGGCCUGGCGACGGUUGUCCAGGUUCAAGUGCGUAGGCUUAAGAGUUAGGUAAAUCCGGCUCUUUUUAAGGCUGAGACACGACGUCGAGCACCUACGGGUGUGAAGUCAUUGAUGCCAUGCUUCCAGGAAAAGCCUCUAAGCUUCAGAUUGUAAGGAAUCGUACCCCAAACCGACACAGGUGGUCGGGUAGAGAAUACCAAGGCGCUUGAGAGAACUCGGGUGAAGGAACUAGGCAAAAUGGUACCGUAACUUCGGGAGAAGGUACGCUCUCGACGGUGAAGUCCCUUGCGGAUGGAGCUAUUGAGAGUCGCAGAUACCAGGUGGCUGCAACUGUUUAUUAAAAACACAGCACUGUGCAAAAUCGUAAGAUGACGUAUACGGUGUGACGCCUGCCCGGUGCCGGAAGGUUAAUUGAUGGGGUUAGACUUCGGUCGAAGCUCUUGAUCGAAGCCCCGGUAAACGGCGGCCGUAACUAUAACGGUCCUAAGGUAGCGAAAUUCCUUGUCGGGUAAGUUCCGACCUGCACGAAUGGCGUAAUGAUGGCCACGCUGUCUCCACCCGAGACUCAGUGAAAUUGAAAUCGCUGUGAAGAUGCAGUGUACCCGCGGCUAGACGGAAAGACCCCGUGAACCUUUACUACAGCUUGGCACUGAACAUUGACCCUACAUGUGUAGGAUAGGUGGGAGGCUUUGAAGCAGGUACGCCAGUAUCUGUGGAGCCGUCCUUGAAAUACCACCCUUGUAGUGUUGAUGUUCUAACGUCGACCCCUAAUCGGGGUUGCGGACAGUGCCUGGUGGGUAGUUUGACUGGGGCGGUCUCCUCCCAAAGAGUAACGGAGGAGCACGAAGGUGGGCUAAUCACGGUUGGACAUCGUGAGGUUAGUGCAAUGGCAUAAGCCCGCUUGACUGCGAGAAUGACAAUUCGAGCAGGUGCGAAAGCAGGUCAUAGUGAUCCGGUGGUUCUGAAUGGAAGGGCCAUCGCUCAACGGAUAAAAGGUACUCCGGGGAUAACAGGCUGAUACCGCCCAAGAGUUCAUAUCGACGGCGGUGUUUGGCACCUCGAUGUCGGCUCAUCACAUCCUGGGGCUGAAGUCGGUCCCAAGGGUAUGGCUGUUCGCCAUUUAAAGUGGUACGCGAGCUGGGUUUAGAACGUCGUGAGACAGUUCGGUCCCUAUCUGCCGUGGGCGUUGGAAGAUUGAAGGGGGCUGCUCCUAGUACGAGAGGACCGGAGUGGACGAACCUCUGGUGUUCGGGUUGUGUCGCCAGACGCAUUGCCCGGUAGCUAAGUUCGGAAUCGAUAACCGCUGAAAGCAUCUAAGCGGGAAGCGAGCCCUGAGAUGAGUCUUCCCUGAUACUUUAAGUAUCCUAAAGGGUUGUCGGAGACUACGACGUUGAUAGGUCAGGUGUGUAAGUGCUGUGAGGCAUUGAGCUAACUGAUACUAAUUGCCCGUGAGGCUUAACCAU